UAAUGUGCAAAAUGAGUUUGUAUUGCUCCAGUUGUUAAGGGUGGUGUUUUGCUUCCAGUUUCGUAGUCUGACUUUCCAUUGGUUUGUAGGAGUUUAAUAACUUGAAACGUUAUAUUUGUGAGAUAUUAUUGUGAGCUCAUGUUUUUUACAAGAAUAGUAGAUCCAUUUGAACGAGUCGUUAGAUUCCUCGUCAGCUACUCAAUCUUUCACCAGUCUUCUCCAUUUUGUCGAAAGCUCUGACAGUAGUCUAAUUCAAGAAAUUCAUGUACAGACCUCUUAAACAGAACAUCCCGUAGUUGGAUGGAAGAUUCGAACAAACACCAAUUUGGAAUCUAAGUGUAAAAACUUCUAAGAUUUUACAGCCGAAUUCCGAAUAAGAAGACAUCACCAGGAAAGUUACAUCUUCUAAUUACCUAACCAUCCCGAAGUCCGGAACUUUUCCCCGUGAUAAUGCCUAGUGUUUAUAAAAGUAUUAAAAAAAGUCUCUACAUUAUUCUGCUAGAACUGUCUAUAUCAAUCCAGUCUACUCAAGAUGACCCUAGUGACGUCUCCCAUCCUUUCAUUCAGAAGCAUGCUCAGAUUUUUGUUUCCCAGUAGUUUGAUACUUCACUUCUUAUUAUCAGAGCCAGCAAUCUCCUGCCCUGAAGAUAUGACCAUUGUGACAUCACCAUCCUUUCAUUCGGGAAAAGGUUAUGUUCUUGAGAUUUUUGUUUUCCAGUAAUUUUACCCUUAUGUAAAGUCUUCCUGGUUUCAGAAAUAUGUGUCAAUUUAGAACUGGCCCAAUCAAUAUAAAUUAAAAACCUGUAUAAACAUGCUACUCAAACUUAUCAGAAUAUUUUGUAUCAUAUUAUCUCAAUUUUUAAUGGUUCUAAACUUAGUUAUCAAAUUAAGUAUAGCAACUUUUUUAUUCCUAACAGAACAAUUAAACUCAUUAAGUAGUGUAAAACCUAUACGUCGUUAAUUAUUCUUUCUAGAUUUCUUAAUUUUUCUAUAUUUAAAUAUUUUCCAUACAAAUCAAUGUUGAACUCUGAACGACUACUUUGUACUCUGUUUAUUUUAAAACAAAAUUUAAAAUCUCUUAAAUAUUAAUAUCAUUAACUUAUGUUAAUCAUGAAAUUAUUAGAGUAAAUUUUUGCUGUAAAUUCAAACCUUAAAAUUCUUUCUCAGUAAAAUUGUUUUAAAUGCUUAACCCUGAAACCUAUAUAAAAUUAAACAAGAUUUAUUAUCGUAUGGUUAAACUUUUUAAAUUCGAAAUAAAUUUUAUACGCCCUCUUAAACCAAAUCUCAUAGCUGCUGCAACUUUUAGUUUACAUUUAGAAAGUAAACUCAACCAAAACUUUUAUUUUCCCUUCGAUUAAACCUUUUUUGAUUUAUUGGUGUCAGUUUUCUCUACAUUUCAUGGAUCUAGAGUUGUUGGGAACCUUUGUCUUAAUGAAACAACGUAUUGAAUCUAACUUUGUUUGCCUGUAACAGUAAAGGUUAACGUUGGGUCAGGAAGAGAAGAAAAAUUUAUUCCCAAAAUUAUUAUCUCAACUUAAAUUGAUAAAAUGGCCCUUAUAAACGGUUCAACUAAAACAAAUGUGGUAUAUAAAUUUCAAAAUGGAACACUUAAAUUGCGAGUUGUUUUGCCUGUUGCAUUAUGAUUAUACAAUAAUUAGGGAUCUAACCGUUCUGAUUUUGUUAAAUUAGACAUUCAAUAGUACUUGACAGACAGUAGACAUUCUUAAAAAUUUGUAUUCGUACUUGUAUAACUAAAUUGUUUUAGAGUGAGUCAUAAAAUUAUCCUUACAUAAAAGCGUUUAGCAAGGAAAGGAGAAUGUACAUUUUUGCAUUCAAACUGCAUAACUGAGAGUAAAAUUUGAAAGUGCAUAGAACUUGUACGUUAUAAAUUUUUUAAGGAGUAUGAAAAUUACGAUUAUCUCAGUUUCUUUUCACUAGAGUAGUUAAAUCAUUUUAGUUUUUUACUGAAUUUGAUUUUUUCAAUUUUUCUAGAGUCCUAAAGUUUGCAGAGGUGAAAAUAUUGUCCGUUAAAUCAGUCUUAAAAUUUUUACAUUACACUAGAUUUCCGAAUCAUUUAUUUGAUAAGUUUUUACAAAUAGUUAUCGUGAAUAUUUCUAAUCAAACUGAUAUUUAAUCCGGAUAAAUUUUUUACUAGAAAAAAAUAGUUUAAUCUUAUACUCUGAGACAAAUACUUUCUUUUGUAGCGAAAUUCCUCAAAACAUUAUCCACUAUUGCCUACAC